AUUGAACGCUGGCGGCGUGCCUAAUACAUGCAAGUCGAACGGAGUGGCGCACGGGUGAGUAAUGUAUAUCUAAUCUUCCCUACACUAGAGGACAACAGUUGGAAACCGCUGCUAAUACUCUAUAGUGUAGGAUGAGGCUAUAUUGUAUCAGCUAGUUGGUGAGGUAAUGGCUCACCAAGGCUAUGACGCAUAACUGGUCUGAGAGGAUGAUCAGUAACACUGGAAGUGAGACACGGUCCAGGAACAUAGGGGAGGGAGCAGUAGGGAAUAUCACUCAAUGGGGGAAUCCCUGAAGGAGCAUCGGGGCGUGGAGUAUGACACGUUUCGGAGAGUAAACUCAUUUUGUUAGGGAAGCGGUACCUAACGAAUAAGCACCGGCUAACUCCGUGCCAGCAGCCGCGGUAAUUC
rnacentral:rRNA from 1 species